rnacentral:tRNA from 1 species
GGGGAUGUAGCUCAAAUGGUAGAGCGCUCGCUUUGCAUACAAGAAGCACAGGGUUCAAUCCCCUGCAUCUCCA